AAGAGAGAUAGAGACAUAAGCUCCCGACUAUAAGGCAAGAAUUAAGGAUUAAGCAAAGCAACUAUUAUGAUAUUGAGAGAUAAACAUUAAGGUAAAAAGAAAUAUCUAUGUUUUAUCACAGGCAUUCCCAAUAUACCAUCAAAACAAAGAAAAAGAAUGUAUGAACAGGACAAGAUAUCCUUCAAGAUAGAAAAAGUUAUGAACUAUAAUUGUUUAAAAUCUCUUUCUACAUCGGACAAUUACAAGCAAUAAGUCAUUCAGAUCAAGACUAUAAUGUGCUAUCCAACGGUUUCAAACAUUUUUUGCCUGUGUAUAGAACUGGGGACAAGUAGACAAGUUCAUCCAAGCAGAAAGAACAAAAAUGACAACAGAAAAACACGAAACUUUUCCACAAAAUAGAAAUCAAGGCAAAUCUAUACAUUUCAAAAGAGAAGAACAGUGAGACCAAAAAAAUUAUAAAUCAUUUUAAUGUUCAGGAAAAAGCAAAGCUCCGAAAUACAUAUGAUAAUCAUCCAUAUAAUGCCAAAGUCCAAAACCAUUUUACUACUUAAGAAACAAUGCCCUCAUAUUGAUGUUUGUUUCAGAUCUUCUCCAACUAAGCUCAUCUCCAUUCAACAAUGCUCCAGAAUCAUUAGCUAGAGAUCAAUCCUGUCCUUUGCUCAUAUUGAUGUUUAUUUCAGAUCUUCUCCAACUAAGCUCAUCUCCUGUCAACAAUGCUCCAGAAUAAUUAGCCAGAGAUCAAUCCUGGCCUUGCAUUCUUCAUCUUAUUCCACAUCAAUGGAAGUUAAAAAUCCAUCACCAUUAUGUUCUUCAAAGCUCCCAAAUCGUACAUGAAUAAUAGUCAACAUGAUUAAGAAACCCGGGGAUAUCCCUAGACCAAAAGAUAACACAGAUCUGGCGAUCUCUGAGAUAAAACUGUUCAUGGAUGUAACCAUUUGCAACAAAACCAAAACACUGGAAUGAGAAACCAAAUCACAACAAUGAGAAGAGAGGUUUAACCUACGAGGCUCUUUAUCCAUUUCAUUAAAAUUGUGCAAAACAAUAAGAAUGCAUGUGACAAAUAAG
rnacentral:lncRNA from 1 species